rnacentral:misc_RNA from 1 species
GAUGAAGAACGCAGCGAAAUGCGAUAAGUAAUGUGAAUUGCAGAAUUCAGUGAAUCAUCGAAUCUUUGAACGCACAUUGCGCCCGCCAGUAUUCUGGCGGGCAUGCCUGUUCGAGCGUCAUUUCAACCCUCAAACCCCCGGGUUUGGUGUUGGGGAUCGGCUCUGCCUCACGGCGGUGCCGCCCCCGAAAUACAUUGGCGGUCUCGCUGCAGCCUCCAUUGCGUAGUAGCUAACACCUCGCAACUGGAACGCGGCGCGGCCAUGCCGUAAAACCCCAACUUCUGAAUGUUGACCUCGGAUCAGGUAGGAAUACCCGCUGAACUUAAGCAUAUCAAUAAGCGGAGGA